AAGGGUGUUUUACGCCAGGACGCUGAUGCGUUUGGGUUCUCGUCUGCAGACUCUCUGGACCUGGUCACGAUUCCACAAUGUACCACAACAGUAGUCAGAAGCGGCACUGGACUUUCUCCAGCGAGGAGCAGCUGGCAAGACUGCGGGCCGACGCCAACCGCAAAUUCAGAUGCAAAGCCGUGGCCAACGGGAAGGUUCUUCCGAAUGAUCCAGUCUUUCUUGAGCCUCAUGAAGAAAUGACACUCUGCAAAUACUAUGAGAAAAGGUUAUUGGAAUUCUGUUCGGUGUUUAAGCCAGCAAUGCCAAGGUCUGUUGUGGGUACGGCUUGUAUGUAUUUCAAACGUUUUUAUCUUAAUAACUCAGUAAUGGAAUAUCACCCCAGGAUAAUAAUAACUUGAGAUCUCUAUUUACCUGUACUUCAGUAAUUCUGAUGGCUCACUUGUGCAUUUUUGGCCUGCAAAGUAGAUGAAUUCAAUGUAUCUAGUCCUCAGUUUGUUGGAAACCUUCGGGAGAGUCCUCUUGGACAGGAGAAGGCACUUGAACAGAUACUGGAAUAUGAACUACUUCUUAUACAGCAACUUA
rnacentral:sRNA from 1 species